rnacentral:rRNA from 1 species
GACGAACGCUGGCGGCGUGCCUAAUACAUGCAAGUAGAACGCUGAAGGAGGAGCUUGCUUCUCUGGAUGAGUUGCGAACGGGUGAGUAACGCGUAGGUAACCUGCCUGGUAGCGGGGGAUAACUAUUGGAAACGAUAGCUAAUACCGCAUAAUAGUAGAUGUUGCAUGACAUUUGCUUAAAAGGUGCAAUUGCAUCACUACCAGAUGGACCUGCGUUGUAUUAGCUAGUUGGUGAGGUAACGGCUCACCAAGGCAACGAUACAUAGCCGACCUGAGAGGGGGAUCGGCAAAACUGGGAUUGAGAAACGGCCCAGGCUCCUACGGGAGGCAGCAGUAGGGAAUCUUCGGCAAUGGACGGAAGGCUGAACGAGCAACGCCGCGUGAGUGAAGAAGGUUUUCGGAUCGUAAAGCUCUGUUGUAAGAGAAGAAAGAGUGUGAGAGUGGAAAGUUCACACUGUGACGGUAUCUUACCAGAAAGGGACGGCUAACUACGUG